rnacentral:lncRNA from 1 species
CCUAAUGGAGAAUGUCCCCUUUCUUUUCGAUUUAGCAGCAUAGACAUGCCAAAGACAACGUUCCAUUGGGCACUUAACUAUAAUCUUCGUAGAAUCAUUCUUCUUGAAGAUAUAAUCACGAUUGUAUGUGAUGCAAUAAUCUUUAAUAGCUGUCCUAAAGUGUUGAGCAUUGCAAAACUGCUGAUGCUCUCCUUUGAUCAACCCCCUCCGUGUAAUUAUUGUCUCGACACUAAUGGCAUCAUCAUUGGGAUCAUCCAAAUUAUCAUAAUUCUCAUAUCCAAUUGAUACCAACCUACCAAAAAUAUGAUGGAAUAACAAUUGUGAG